AUGCCAUGGUGAGGGCAUAUCCUUAAGUUUGAACCUUUCCCAAGCUUCAGGAACAACUUCAUCGUCCAUUUGUUUAAGAAGGCAAAUUUCGUUCCUGGACUU